GUAUUCUAACGCUGAGUGUCUGAGGAUCGGGGUCCAGCUCCACGUUGACCAUGUCGAGGGGUAGCGCCGGGUGACACAGCGGGACGAGCGUGCUCGUUUGCUUUGCUCCUUGAAUCCCGGCGAGUCGCGCGACAGCAAAAGCGUCCCCCUUGGGAAGCGCGCCUUGGAGCAGAGCAGUGAAGACGCCUUGGUCGCCGAUAUUCAGGCUCGCUUCUGCCUGGGCCUUUCUAAAACAGGCUUCCUUAGUACUAAUAUCCACCAUGCGCGCUUCUCCGCGCUCAUUCAGGUGAGAGAGCACCGAAUAACGCCUCAGGCUUUGUCGCAAGGAGCCGAACGUCCCUGCGAACGCCCAGUGCCGGAGCAUACUAGUCGAGGUUUUCGAUCAGUUUCCGCAGUGCAAGUGCCUGCCAGCAAAGUCCUCCGCCCCUACCCAAUCUGGCUUCUCGGUCAGGCCAAGGGCGACACAGAACCCGAUACUCCAGGCAGCUGGCAAGCUUCUCAGCCAGGUUUCUUCCAGCAGUGUAAGUCCGUAGCGCCGGGUAACGGUCCUUUGGUCGCCGCUGCUCGCGUUACGCUAGGGGAGCACGCACCAACUGGCAAGUAUACCAGCGGUACGCACCGCAGAAAGUGUGCGCCGUUGUUUUUGAUCGACCCGCUCUGUGAUGGAUCGGACUGACCAGACGAAGCUCUCUAUGCUACGCGUCAAGCUCCGUCUCUGUAGCUAACUUCGAAUAAAGCGCAUCCAAGAAAAACGAAUCUGGCGGGGAAACUCACAAGUCGCAGAUCGAAAGCAUGUAUUCUGGACGGCGCUCGGGGUGCAGUACCAUUUGCAUAGAGCAUCGCAUGCUCAACGUGCCGAGCCGUACACCUAGGCUCUGCAGCAGGCUUUAUUGCUCGUUCAGCAGCACAAGUGCAUCCACUUGCUUCGUGCGAGGAGGGAGCAUCCCUCACGCAUAGAGCGGCGUUUGAGCGCAUGAUGCGGUGCUAACUUAUAGCGCGUCACCGCUUCACAGGAUACCGUAUAGGAGCAUGACACGGGUGCAUCCCUGCUCAUGAGACUGACUUUACUGACUCGUGUCCGUGCUGGUCGCUGAUUUGCGGCAAGCAUCCCACUGACAAGGGUUCUUCGAGUUUUUCUCCAUCGAAUGUCGAUGGAUAUUGAUAGCGCCUUUCUGUGGUGUGGUGCGAGACGAGGUGCAAACUCGGCCUGUCCCCUUUAAACUGGGGGCGUUUUCGUGGACCUAUGAAUUUGGAACCUCCGGAGACGGGUAUCUAGAUGAAAUAGGCAACUGAAGGAUGUGACGCGACGCGACGCGACGCGACGCCACAAAGAUAUGAGCAUCCGUCCUCAGCCCUCAUGUGCUUUAUGCGGCCGCUGGAGAUCCGCUUUUGCGAUAAGGCAUUUCGGAACCUUUUCAUCGUAUUCGAGUUGAGCCUGUAUUAUGCACGUGUUGUUCGUGCCCGCCUGGAGAUACACACAUGUGUUGGCAGAAACGAGGAGUGCUUGUACCAAAUGCCCUGAACGGAGCGACGCACCGCCUGAUCCUCUACAGCUUUGUUCAGGUACAAGCACUCCUGCGUUUACGCCAACACAUGCACAGCUGCUCUGCAUGCGUGGCAUCAGGGAUUUGCGGUGAGUCAGACGCAGACCCCCGGUGUCAAGAGGCGCUCGCAGGGCAAGCUAAUCCUUCCGGGGCUGAGCUCUGGUACCAUCGCGCGGUCGUAAACGCGGAUG